rnacentral:rRNA from 1 species
GCACUGACUGCUAUCGGAUUGAUACUAAGCCAUGCGAGUCUUUGUAGCAAUACAAGGCAGACGGCUCAGUAACACGUAGUCAAUCUACCCUAUGGACGGGAAUAACCUCGGGAAACUGAGAAUAAUACCCGAUAGAUCAUAAUGCCUGGAAUGGCUUAUGGUCCAAAUGAUACGUCGCCGUAGGAUGGGACUGCGGUCUAUCAGCUUGUUGGUGAGGUAAUGGCCCACCAAGGCUAUAACAGAUACGGGCUCUGAGAGGAGAAGCCCGGAGAUGGGUACUGAGACACGGACCCAGGCCCUAUGGGGCGCAGCAGGCGAGAAAACUUUGCAAUGUGCGAAAGCACGACAAGGUUAAUCCGAGUGUUUUCUGCUAAAGAAAUCUUUUGUUAGUUUUAAUACCACUAAUGAAUAAGGGGUGGGCAAGUUCUGGUGUCAGCCGCCGCGGUAAAACCAGCACCUCAAGUGGUCAGGAGGAUUAUUGGGCCUAAAGCAUCCGUAGCCGGCUAUGUUAGUUUUCGGUUAAAUCCAUGUGCUCAACAUAUGGGCUGUCGAGAAUACUGCGUAGCUAGGGAGUGGGAGAGGUAGACGGUACUCGUAGGAAGGGGUAAAAUCCUUUGAUCU